rnacentral:lncRNA from 1 species
AAAGCAGUGAAAAUGAGCCAAUCUGAGCUGGUUCCAGCACACCUCUUGGUCUGUUCCAAGAAAAGAAAUAAAGCCAGAAGAGCAGAGGAGACAAAGGAGACAGUUGCAGGAGAUGAGGUCAAAGAAGCAGGCAGGAGGCUGAUCUUGGAAGGAGCCUAGACUGCAUUCCAAUUAUAACAAGAAGCCACGCGGAAGGUGUUAAAGCACAGAGUGACACUCCCUCUUCCUUUCUACCUUCUUGGUGUUUUUCUCAAGAGGAAACAAAGGCAGAAUAAGGAGUAGCGCAAAUCCUCUCCUCGUCUUACGCAUCAGCAGUGAACACGUCCUUGGCGUCUCACCUCCUACCUCCUGAGGCAUAGCAACAAACACCAUGACACAGCAACAAACAUCAUGGCACAUCAUUUUCCAGUUUUUCUCAAUAGUGAGCACUCAAUUGUUUUUGAGAGCAGGUUUUUCGUGGAAAGCCUCUGAAACGUCUACCUGGAGCUCUCUGUGUAGUUGUAUGGAUACCUCCCCAGGUGUGCCUCUCUGAGAGGACAGGUCUGCCUUGAGCUAUAAACAUGGCAUUUGUCGGCCAGGCGCAGUGGCUCAAGCCUGUAAUCCCAGCACUUUGGGAGGCCAAGGCGGGUGGAUCACAAGGUCAGCAGUUUGAGACCAGCCUGACCAACAUGGUGAAACCCCAUCUCUACUAAAAAUACAAAAAAAUUAGCUGGGCGUGGUGGCGGGCACCUGUAGUCCCAGCUACUCGGGAGGCUGAGGCAGGAAGAAUGGCGUGAACCCCAGAGGUGGAGCUUGCAGUGAGCUGAGAUUGCACCACCGCACUCCAGCCUGGGCAACAGAGCGAGACUCCGUCUCAGAGAAAAAAAAAAAAAAGGAAAAACAACCCUGGCAUUUGUCAGCAUGCAUGCUGUUGAAAGCUGUGGGAUUAGAUGAGGUGAUAAGGUGCAAUUGUGUAGGCAGGGCCCAGGACAAAGCUGCAGUGUUUUAAGGUCUGGAGAAGAAAAUCCAGCAAAGGGGACUGAGGGAUGGCAGGAGCGAGGAGGAAGAGAAUCAGUCAGAAAUAAUGUCACUUUGGGAGGCAAGGCGGGCAGAUCACCUGAAGUCAGGAGUUUGAGACCAGCCUCGCCAACAUGAUGAAACCCCAUCUCUACUAAAAAUACAAAAAUUAGCCAGGUGUGGUGGCAGGUGCCUAUAAUCCCAGCUACUCGUGAGGCUGAGGUGGGAGAAUCACUUGAACCUGGGAGGCGGAGGUUGCAGCGAGCCAAGUUUGCACCAUUGCACUCCAGCCUGGGCGACAGAGUGAGACUCCAUCUCAAAAAAAGAGAGGAAAAAAAAAGGUCAAAAGAGCAGCACUUUUCAGAAGGAAAACAUGGACAACUGUGCCAUGCUGAUGAGAGAUCAAACAAGAUGAAGUCCUAAAUGGUUCACUGGAAGCAGCAACGUGGAAGCCCCUGGUGACUUUGACAUGAGCAGUUUCACUGGAGUGUGGCAGACAGAAUCUGACUGAGGAGCUGGGGGUCAGGGCGGGAGGGGGUGCUCAGCAGGCAAGGGUGUCACAUUUGUUAAUGAAGACGGUGUCACAUUUGUUAAUGAAGAUGUUCUCUCCUUUGAAUGAGAUGAUGCAUUUAGUGUGUAACAGUGUCCGGCUCACAGUCGGGCCUUGCUAACACUUUGCUUUCACUCACUUCCUUAUCUUUCAUUCACUGACCAGAAAGGUUAAUGGUGGCUGUUCCUCUUUUGAAAAGCGGAUUGGGAACACCAGCAUAGCUAUUUUGACACUGGGAUUUCUGUUAGAAAAGUAGAUGUGACUUAUUCCCUUUGGGUGGAACUCCUUUUCUAGAAAGGGAGGCAACACACAUGUUGGGUAAAUCUCAGUUUCUAGAGUCAGGCUGCCAUAAGUUAAAUCUCAGUUCCGCCCCCGAGACAUGUAGCUAUGGGGAUUUUACAUGAACUCCCGAGUCUCAGUUUUCUCACCAUCAACCAUUCAUCAGAAUAGUGCCUACCUCACCAAUGCACACCUUAAGCACCUGGCGCCUCUGUUAGCUACCAUUUAAGUUGAGAAUUUCCCUGUGAGGUUUUUUCAGAGGAGGUUCCUUCUACAAUAAACCACCAAGUACUUGGUCCCCUUUUGCAGAAAUCCAUCCACACCAUGUGUAAACACAGGGGCUGGGAACUUGCAUGGUAAACCAGGUCAGCCAAACACGGAUUAACAAUGCCAGGCCCAUUUCACCUGCAAAGUAUCAGCGACUCUUCAAUCGGCAGGUCCCCAGCUGCCUUGCAGCACAGCCAGGGCCUAGCAUAGCGCUGCCUCCUUCCCUUUCACUUGUCCUCAGGAAUCCCCGGAGAUCCAGGGUGAGGCUCCUUUAGUCUAAUGAGAAGGAGGCAUUCUGACUUUUUAGGUUAUUUUCUCUUCCCAGCCCCUGGCAGAUGGAAAAAGAAAACAAAACAAAACAAAACAAAAAAACAAACAAAAAAAACCCCGCCACAAUAAUUGCUGCUUGCAUGAAUGACCUCAAUACGGGAAGAGUGCUGAGCGCCUAAGUCCUUGCACUGCUGCCAGGCCUGGCGUCAUCAUGAUUAACACAGCAAUCACCGGCCAGGGAGCCGGGCCGCUCUGCCUACCAGACACCCUGACUGGGUGACUUACGGCUUUAUAUUUUUAAAUUGGCCUCUCUAGCACCGUCUGAUAAAUCAACACACAAGUCAUUAAAUGGUUCAUUAUCCCAGUAAUAUGAUUCAUUCUUUGUGCCAAGAAAUGCAGGAGAUGUCAGGAAACUUAAAAAUAUCUCAUUUGAAGCCAUGAGUGCCCAUCUACAUAACAGAUUAACUGGAUGAGAGAGAGUGGUUGGACAUGGAGGUCAAAGAGAAGACUCAGCAGGUGGUGGUCUUACCUGCAGCAGUCCUUUACCUCCUGCUGAAAAAUGUAAGUCACACUCUCACUAGGCAGGCUCUGUGCUGGCCACACUUUCUCCCUCAUAGGCUCAGAAGGCGGUCAUGCUGGCUGCAGGCACCUGCUAGAGAAUUCACAGCCGAGGGCACUCAGCUAGGGUCAUUCCUAUAGGAAGAACACCAAGUCCAGAAGAUGACGGGGCCAUGUGCUAUGGAAGAAAGAGCACUCGGUCCCAGUUCUGCCACCAGGUCUGAAACUCUGGGUACAUUGCUUGAAAUGAAAUCACAAUACUUUGUUGUCAUCAUCUGUCAAACAAGAAAGUCAUUCUCCACAUUUUUUCAAGUUCUUUCUAGCUCUAAGAUUCUAUGACUCUAGUGUGUUGGAGGAGAAGAGAGGAAGGCAGAGUUGAGAGCUUGGUCAGAGCUGAGUUCCAAUGUAUCUGAUAUGUGGAUUAUGUAGGAGACUCUUCCACCAAAUCUACAUACACUAUUUUGCAUGAAGGUUGCUAAUUUAUGUUGAUUGUGUCAGUGAUGGCUCCUUUAGUAGAAAGAAGAAAAAAAAUCUAAAUGAAACUGGCUUAAGCACUAAGGACAUUUAUUUGUUUGUGUAUUCUGCAACCUCUGAAUGUUUGCUUUGGUCUCCAUUACAACACCUGGGACUAGAAGAGUCCCUAGACUCAUGGAACUUAAUUCUAGUUGGGGAAAUAGAUAAUAAACAAAACAUAUGUAACUAUAUUAUCUAAUGUCAGGUAAUGACAAAUGCAAUGAAGACAAACAAACAGGACAGGUGAAUAGAGAGAUCCUUUUUUACACAGAAUGGUGAUGGAAGGUCUCUUUAAGGCAAUUAAUAGCUGAUACAAUGUUGGUAAAUAAAGGUAUGACAAGAAGACUAUGAGACCUUCAGAGAAGAUUCCUGCCAGGAAGCACGACUACCAAGAGCACAGAUAUGUGGUUAAGCAUACCAGGCGAACCCAGUGAACUAGAUUUCUGUGGAGGAUGGAAGGAACCAGCAUGGUCCACCCUGUUGGGGAGCUCAGAAUGGAGCUGACAGUGUUGGCUGAGAAGUUUGGAAGGGUUCCUAUGACAGGGCCACAUGUUGCUGUAACCAAGAGCUCAGCAUCUGCCAAGGACUCAAGUGAAUCUUCAGGCAGAUUUCUACAGCCCCCACUUGCUCAGCUCCCUCUUCUCCAGUGGCCUCCCUCACAAACUCCAACAGUCCACAACCCUGAUCUCUAAAUACUCGGCUUAGUGAGAUCAAUGCUUUUGUUGAGUUUCUACCUCUCUGCAUUUCAGAAAAAAACCCCAAAAAAACAAACAAAAAAAACGGCCCAAGAAAGAAAGCUGGGACCCCCUUUUUAGAGGCACGUGAACCAGAACAACUCCAUCUUGAAUAGGAGCUGGGUAAAAUAAGGCUGAAACCUACUGGGCUUCAUUCCCAGAUGGUUACGGCAUUCUAAGUCACAGGAUGAGAUAAGAGGUCGGCACAAGAUACAGGUAAUAAAGACCUUGCUGAUAAAACAGGUUUCAGUAAGGAAGCCGGCUAAAUCCUCCCAAAACCAAGAUGGCCACAAGAGUGACUCUGGCCAUCCUCACUGCUACACUCCCACCAGCAACAUGACAGUUUACAAAUACCAUGGCAACGUUGGGAAGUUACCUUAUAUGGUCUAAAAAGGGGAUGCAGGAAUAAUCCACCCCUUCUUUAGCAUAUCAUCAAGAAAUAACCAUAAACAUGGGCAACCAGCAGCCCUCAGGGCUGCUCUGUCUAUGGAGUAGCCAUUCUUUUAUUGCUUUACUUUCUUAAUAAACUUGCUUUCACUUUGCACUGCAGACUCAACCUAAAUUCUUUCUUGCGUGAGAUCCAAGAACCCUCUCUUGGGGUCUGGAUUGGGACCCGUUUCCUGUAACAUAUUUCUCCGUCCUGCAACAUAUUUCUGGCCACCAUGAACGUAUGAUACUGAGAAAACCCCCCCGACUUGGAGGAAAUGGACUGCGGCACUGAUUGGAUGACUUCGGGGUGACCAUCUUGCCCAGAGACCACGUGUUGAAACUCCAAUUUGGAGGCUGGAUUAAAGGUGACGGGGUCCACCCAUCUGGGGGCAAAUUUAAGCCCUGCCAGUUUGACAUUGCAUGCUAAGCAGAGUGGCUAAUGUCUAUGUUUUAUCACAUGUAUUUUGCUCUGGCCAGAACGAAAACAAUAAUUUUCCUUUAUGAUGCAGCUUGGCCCCCAGGGCGAUGGUGCCGCAAGCUGGAUUACUAGGGGCGCUCAGGGAAAGGGAAUCCAGAAGCCUGGCACGCCAGCAAAAGGGCAAGAAUUUCUUACCAGUCAGAUUUCUGGCUUCUCUCUGUGCAAACAGUUGAUGUAUGGAAAAAAAACAAAAUCAGUAUUUAUCUCCUCUGUAAAGUUUUGAUUAAUGCGAAAAAGAAUUCUAAGGCUAGUCUUAACCUAGUGUGUUUGGUGCUAUGAAUUUGUUUUUCUGUGUCAAGGGGUACUUCAGGAUAAAACACAGGCUUAGAACACCUGUCAGUCCGCUUUUCAAGAUGACCCAGCAGCUGGUCAUAACAAACUUGGCUGCAGGUCCCUGAAACAAACAAACAGACAAAAAAACUGGAUGAAGUCUCCACCUUGUUUUAUGUCCUUGGGAGCUUGACGUUUUAAUCACGUGGUGAUACCUUUUCUUGGUCUCUUCCUUGUCCCUUCCAGGGACAGGAAUUUUAGGGUUCAUGUAAUAGCUCUAAAAAAUCAUACUGAAUAAAAUCAUAUUAAAUAAAAGUCUUUGCAAACUCAAAAUUAACUACUCUAGACUCCUUCUGGGAAAGAAAAUGGAGACUGCCCCUUGCUGUAGCUCAGUAGCUAGGGUUUUGCACUUUCGCAGUGGUGGUCCGGGUUCAAUUUUUCAUGUAGGAAGUUAUUUCUGGUUUAGUAUCUGUGUGACCUUGUCUAUUCUCUUGUGCUUCGCAGACUGUCUUAAAUUUUCCUUUCUCUAAGGACAUGGGAGGUUACCUGUGGUAAAGUUCAAAAGCUAGAAAUAUCAGCUAUUUGGCAUUAGAAAUUUUAAAAGGACAUUAUUAAAGAGUGCUACGGUUAAAAUCAAUUUAAUUAAAAGCAGAUAGAUUCCUCUCAAAAUCAAAGGCUAUUUUGUUUUGCAUUGUUAUCGACAGUUUUGAGUUUUGGGGGUAUCAGAAAUUACUUUACAUUAUGAGAGAGCUUUGGUGUGUAAUAACUAUGUAGGAAAUAUACUUUAAGGGAUGGCUAAUAGUAGUUAUGGAAGGAUACUUGACUCUUUGCACACUUGGAUCAGAGAAGCAUGCUCUUGGCCACCUGAAAGAUGAUUAAACAUCCCCACCCCACACUGGGGGACGAGACUCCCAUAAGGGAUAGUCUAAUUACAAAAUAGGCUGAUUGGCUUUGGGUUGCCUUGCAAUGAAAUGCAGGAGAGAAGCACUGCAUUGUCUUCUCCCGAAAUAUUUCCCUCCUUUUGGGGAUCCAGGAACCGGUAUAAAAUGACACUCUUAAUUUGGGGGAUCUGUCUUUGCCUUCAGCUGCUUAUUUGGCCCUAGAAAUGCAUGCUUUCCUGGCCCUGUUCCUCCAAGGGCUCCACCCUGAAGCCAGUAAUCCAGUUAAGAAAGGUGGUUCACACCUGUAAUCCUAGUACUUUGGGAGGCCCAGGCAGGUUGAUCACGAGGUCAGGAGUUCGAGAUCAGACUGGCCAAUAUGCUUAAACCUGUCUCUACUAAAAAUACAAAAUUUAGCCGGGCAUGGUGGUGGGUGUCUGUAAUCCCAGCUACUCAGGAGGCUGAGGCAGGAGAAUCACUUGAACCUGGGAGGCGGAGGUUGCAGUGUGAUGAGAUUGCCCCAUUGCACCACAGCCUGGGCAAUAGCGUGAGACUCCAUCUCAAAAAAAGAAGGAAGGAAGGAAGGAAGGAAGGAAGGAAGGAAGGAAGGAAAGAAGGAAGGAUGGAAGGGAGAAAAUGGCAAAUGAAAAAUCUUACAAGUGCUGAAUCUUCUGUCUGUGGAUUUAUAUAUGUUGCAUGUUUAUAGAUAAAAGAGCUCUAAUUAACUGGCUUAGAAAAAUAGGCACUUAAAUAUUUUGUCAGAAAAACAGGAACUUUAAUGCCUUUUUGUUCAUGUGACUUUAGUAAUCUUUUGGAAAUAAUGACAGUUCUAAAAAUUAUUAGUAAAAUAAAAUGUCUUUAAAAAUGUAGACAUUUGGUCUAAAUUAACGUCAAAUAUCAGAUUUGCUAAAUGCUUUAAGGUCAAAUUGUUUUUCUGACUUUUGAAAAUUGUUCAAUUUGGCUGGGCCCAGUGGCUCACGCCUGUAAUCCCAGCACUUUGGGAGGCUGAGGCAGGUGGAUCAUCUGAGGUCAGGAGUUCGAGACCAGCCUGACCAACAUGGUGAAACCCUGUCUCUACUAAGAAUACAAAAAUUAGCUGGGCCUGGUGGCAGGUGCCUGUAAUCUCAGCUACUUGGGAGGCUGAGGCAGGAGAAUCGCUUGAACCCGGGAGGUGGAGGUUGUGGUGAGUGGAGAUUGCACCAUUGCAUUUCAGCCUGGGUGACAGAGCAAGGUUCCAACUCAAAAAAAAUAUAAAUAAAUAAAUAAAAGAAAAAAGAAAAAUGUUCAAUUUACCUACUUUAAAGUCAUUAGCUUCUAGAUAAGGGCUGGGACAUGUGGAAUUAGCCAUACUCCCUAGCUAUACAAACAAGAUUAUAAAGAAAGAGAUUUUACAUAAGAAGGGAUCUCACAUGGUAAAUUCUUGUCCUAAAGUAAAAUAACUGGUUGUUUAAAAGGAGGGAUGUUUAAGGCAAGUCAGAAAGUCCAAGAAUGACUCAGAUGGUCUGUGUAAGUCGUGAAAGGAACUGUGAAAGGGAAUUUAUGCAAGAAAUGUACAAUCCAAAGGUUCUUAGGCCUCCUAAAUCCUUCAUAAAAUGCCACUAUGACUCUUACUUAAGUAAGAGUAAGGCCUGGGGACAUUUGGAAUUAGCCACACUCCCUAGCUGUGCUAGAGAGUCAGCUCUUAUCUGCACUUUUGCCUGGUGUGUCCUAGGCAGGCUACACACUAGUACACAAUUAAAAUCUCGAAUUUACCAAGGUUUUCACCAAAAAUAAAAGUUGCUAAGAGUUAACAUUAUAACAUGUAAUUAAGACUACUGAAGAAACAGUUUUACAUGCAAGGUGUGUAAGAAAAGCAAAAUGUGUUUUUGGUUAAAAAAAAAAAAAGAUUAUAAGAAGUCAUGGGAAUGUGGUUUUUUUUCUGCCUAAAAUGUUAAAGGAUUGUUUUAAGUAAGAAAAAAAAAUUUUUUUAAACUAGUUGUGGAAGGUUUAUAAAAAUUAAUUGUAAGAGAUUCUGUGUUUGAACAUAUUGGCUAAAGUUAAAGGAAUAUUAUUCACUAAACAUUGGAAUAAAAGCACAAUGGGUUUUUCUGCUCUUUCACAAAAAAUGUAAAGAGUUAUAAAAGGUUUAUAAGAAUCUUUCCUUAUGGUUAAACAUUAAAAUUGGGUAAAUAUGUCUAUAAGGUUUUAUAUAAAAAUUGGAUUUAACAUUAAUAGUACAUUAAAAUAAAGGUAAAAUUUGGCUUAAUUGAUGUAAAAUUCAUACAGGAAGCAUUAUCAAAUGUAAAAUGGUGUUUUUCUUUCUUUAGAUAUUUGCAUAAAUGUGUUAUUGGCAUAUGUUCCAAAGUUAUGGAAAACUUCUAUAAUUCUAAUAUAACUUAGUGUAUGUUAUUAAUAAUUAUAAUUGUUAUGUAAAAUUCUGUGUACCACAUAGGUAACCAAAUUUCCUGAUCAAUUAUGGCUUUAAUGGUGGCUGUCCUCAAACUUUUUAUCAUCCACAGGCAAUUGCUGUCUUGUUUUAAUCCCCUUUAAAAGAUGGUUUGUAAUCAACUAUAAAACCCUGGCAGGUGUUAAAUACAAGUUUUUCUAAUAACUUUGGAAAUUGUAAUAUUAAAAUAAAGAAAACAACAUUCAAAACUCUCAUAAAAAGCUAAAAUGUUUACAAAUAUCAAAUACAACAGAAAUUAACAGAACCAAUAGGAAACUGAAGUAAUCUUUUCAACUUUGCUUAAAACACUGCUAAUCCUUUGUUUUGUUUUUCAGAGUCAAAAAAAAAACUUUUUUAAGCUAUUUACAGCUUAUAACAAUUGAGUAAAGUAUACUGCUGUGAAAAAAAAAUGGAAACAUAUUUUUCUCUACCUAAUUUUUCCAAAAUUUAGGAACUAGUUGUAAGUAUGCUUAACUUAUGGCAAUAUAAUUAUUUGUAUAAGUGCAAUAAAAAUCUGUUUUCUUUUGUAACAAGACACAAUUGAAGAAACUGGUCAUUUUACCAAGGCUUUAACUGGAAUGGUGUGUUUUCCCUUAAGAAAUUAAACUUAACUUGUAGAGCCAAUAAAAGCCUCAUGGGAAACUGGCCUCAUACCUUGCCUACAACAGUGCCUGUACAGGGUUUCUGACCUGUGGUAAGUAAAGAAUGCCACUUUCUAACAGGUCCAGAAGCCACAAGUUAUCUUGGGACCUCAAGAGGAAAGAAAUUUACCAAACUCAUAGGUAUUUGAUGGUACAAACCCAUGGAUAAGCUUGGCCUUAAAAGCCUUAUCUAAAAUUCCUUCUAUGGAACAGAAUUCCAUCAAAGCCAAUUUAAAAAGAACCUAUGUGAAAAAUAAUUAUUCUUGCUGCACUUUAUACAAAUAAUCAGGCCAAGUAUAAUAAAGCAAAUUGGUCUUACCAUAAUUUGCAUUUAGCAAAAAUGGGAAACUGGAGAGAGAAAUAUUUUGUUUCAAAAACUAUGGUAUACUUGUUAUUAAAUUCUAGUCUCAUCAGUCAUUUUGAAGUUUGUUUCUGCAAUAAGCAGGCUAACUCUUCUUCUUCCGGUGAACCAACCAGUGAUGUCUGACUGUUGCUCAGAAGAAACAAGAGGGAUGGGCAAUGUAAAAAUCUGGAUUAGUAUUCUAAUUCUGGGCACAUUACAAUCAGCUAGCAACCCCAUACCAGCUUAGUUCCAACAGUUGCCCAAUUCAUGAAAAGCCUUCUAAUUUAGUUUACUUGGAAUAACUUUACUUAUUUUGCUUCACUCUUGUGGAAUAUAUUGCUGUUAUACUCUGUGUAGGAAUAUAAAAAAAGCUUACUAAAUGUUUUCUUAAACACUUAUUAAUCUUCCAGAUAUCACCUCUUGUCAAAACUCAAGAGUCAUAAAUGGCCCUCACCAUACUGAUGUUUUCUAACUGAGCUCCUCUCUACCCUGAACACAAUAGACCCUAACAGGCAGAAAUAUCAUCACCCCUAUUCAGCCUGAAGAAGUUACAGAAAAUGAAUCUUCAUACCUCUGCGACCCUUAGGAUUAAGGGUUCUCUUAUAAAAGGGAAGGGGGAAAUGUCAGAGGUUUGUGAACCAGAACAACUCCAUCUUGAAUAGGAGCUGGGUAAAAUGAGACUGAAACCUACUGGGCUGCAUUCCCAGAUGGUUAAGGCAUUCUAAGUCACAGGAUGAGACAGGAGGUCGGCACAAAGUACAGGUCAUAAAGACCUUGCCUAUAAAACAGAUUGCAGUAAAGAAGACGGCUAAAUCCUACCAAAACCAAGAUGGCCACAAGAGUGACCUCUGGUCGUCCUCACUACUACACUCCCAUCAGCGCUAAGACAGCUUACAAAUGCCAUGGCAACAUCAGGAAGUUACCCUAUGUGGUCUAAAAAGGGAAGGCAUGAAUAAUCCACCCCUUAUUUAGCAUACCAUCAAGAAAUAACCAUAAAAAUGGGCAGCUAGCAGCCCUCAGGGCUGCUCUGUCUAUGUACUCGUAACCCAUUCUUUUAUUCCUUCACUUUCUUAAUAAACCUGCUUUCACUCUGCACUGCGGACUUGCCCUAAAUUCUUUCUUGUGCGAGAUCCAAGAACCCUCUCUUGGGGUCUGGAUUGGGAGUCCUUUCCUGUAUAUCUCUGUUCUGUAACACCUUGAGGCUCAUUUUGUGUGUUUCCUUUCUCUCAACAAUCACAGUUCUGCACUGUGUAAUGUUCAGUGUCUGAAAACACCUGCUUCAUGUUUGUCUAAUUUAAUAGUAGUUUUCUGUGGGAAUGAAAGUCUAGUACUAGUUACACUGUCAUGGCCAAAACUGAGGGCCUUUUGGGUGUCUUCUAAUACCCUUGAUUCUUAUUGGCAGCUGCCUACUCUGAGUAAAUGCCCAACAAAAUACGAAACAGCUCAGCUUCAUGUCUUCCAACCAACCUCAGAAAAAAGAUAAAGUCUGAUUUAAAUUUCAUAUCAAAAGCAAUAUUUCAACUAUUUAAAGCUACAAUAAAUAUACAACCAUACGGAAAUCUGUAACCAAAUAUAAAACCCUCUAAACUAAAACAUUUAACACAGCAGAGACCACCAAUGUAACACUGGGUUAAUUCAUUUUUGUGUAAAACCUGUAAUAAAGUGUACCACCACAUUUAUGUUUAAUUUAAGAGCCUCUUUACUCCAGAAGUAUAAGGGGCCCAAAUCAGAAAACCUAUUGAUAUAAUUUACCACAUUAACAAACCAGGA